rnacentral:rRNA from 1 species
GAUCAUGGCUCAGGAUGAACGCUAGCGACAGGCUUAACACAUGCAAGUCGAGGGGCAGCGGGGGAUAAGCUUGCUUUUCCUGCCGGCGGCCGGCGCACGGGUGAGUAACACGUAUGCAACCUGCCCCUGUCAGAGGGAUAAUCCGGAGAAAUCCGGUCUAAUAUCGCAUAAAGCGUUUGCGGGGCAUCCUGCGAGCGCCAAAGGAGUAAUCCGGACAGGGAUGGGCAUGCGGCG